UUUGAGUCAAUCUCCCUCUUCUCCCCUUCCCCCACCUCGGCUUGAUCUGGGAUCAGGGCUUUGCUCUGUGUGCUGGGCUCUGAUGGAUGCUGGGAGAGGUGUUGCAGAAGGGGGGCAGGCUCUUUUCUAAUACCAGGAUCAAGUGAAAGUUAGCCCUUCCUUAUGUCUGAGUCAUUAUCCCUGUUGUCACUACAAUAAGAAGCACGAGGAGCAAUCGUGCUCCUUUGCAGAAAGGGAACAGCUGGUGUAAAUGCCAGCCAGGGCCAGCUUUGGCAUUCGGCCUGGCUCUCACCACAAAGACUGAGCCUCGGUGAUGCUCUGAAGGUGUUGUAUUUCAAUCGGCUCCUGAGCUGGGUGGGAUUUGCUGCUUGCAGAUAAGGACAGCAAUGCAGCAGCAAGGCAAGUUACAACAAACAGUCAGAAGUAAUACCUGGUCAGGUAGACAUGCACAAGUGAAUGAUCCAGGCUGCAGGCCUCUCCUGGAGUGGAGAAGAUGCUCUCACAAUGUAGGGCCAGGGACAAGACCCUCAUGCUGGAUUACAUAACCUGGCAUCAGAAACACUCACUGCUCUUGCUUUCUGUGGGCUGGAAGGACUAAAUCUAUUAAAGCUGUAGCUGGAGACAGCUUGGGAAAAUCCUGCAUCACAUUUGAAUGUCUGGGAUGAAAAAGUGCCAGCAUGCUUGCACAUCAUGCCAAGCUGAGCCAGCAGAGGCUCUUGGGUUUCUUCUGUCUGUGUACAAUUAAAGUCACACUCAGCAUUGAAGCACUGCUCAGAUCCCCAGACUUUGCAGCUGCACGACCACACUGGAGAAGGCACAGAACCUCUGAACAUCUCUAAGCCAGCUGUCAAUGAGAGCCAUGCUUCCCAAGGGGCUGGGAAUGGGCUGCAGGUCACUCCUGACCCAUCCCCUUGGUCUUCUGUGUCUCAGUGGUCCCUUAGCUGAGUGGAGUCAUGCUGGCAUUCCAGCACAGCACACGCAGUCACUCAUCUCUUCUUGCCAUCAGCCAGCUCCCCACAGCAAAGCCCCCCCAGUGACGACAAGCAUCUUCCCCCAUGCUGGGUAGAAAGAGCAAGGGAGAAAGAAUUAACAAAAUAAGAAAUCUCCCAGAGUCUGGAAAAAGCGCCCAUCUGGCAGGAUCUCACAGCUCCACCCUCAGGGAAUCUGCGUUUCUGACACUCAGUCUGCCUGCUGCUUGAGGGAACACCCUCGUAGAAUCAGCCACGAGCAGAGAGACUUGUGAGCCAGUUCUGCACAAUUUGCUCUAAGGGUCCUCCCAGCUCUAUCUCCAGCCAAACAAAAGCAAAGGCUCUUUUCUUCUGAAAUAUGCAGGAGGUCAUGAGCUAACCUGCAGCUAAUCUAUAUUUUCAGCUCUGAUGUUGCUUUUCAGCUCUGCUGCUUGUGUUUGUGCUUGGCUGCUUCCUCCUUUCCAAAUUCCAGAGGUGGGUUUGUUUCCUUAACAGAGAAUGAAGAAAUUUGGAUAUGGUCUUACAGGAAAAGAUCAGAUGCAGUUUAUAGCAUCUUGCACCAAAGGAACAUUGAGAACAGCUAGAAUCAUCAAACUCAUCUGUGCUUGAAUCAGUAGCCAGAUUUUUCGAAGGUGCAGGAGACCCAGUAAGAGGAAUGGGUGAGCAGUCACCAAGGCAGGUUCCCAUAUACAGUACAGAUUCUGAGAACAGAAAAUGUUGAAUCCUGGAGAUAUCUCUCUCCAUAACUCAGACUUUUCCAUUGAUUGGAGAGAAUGAUCUCUUCUCUGUUUGGCACAGAGCAGCUCUGCGGCCCAGCAGACCAAGCUGUAAACAGAGCCCCAGGGAACCAGACCACUCCAAACUGGUGCAGUUUGUGAACUGUGGGCAUGAAUCAUCCAAAUAACUUCCUUCAGGCAAUACAGGGAAGAAAUGUCACUAACCAUGUGAAAAUUGAGACCAUAUGUUUUUAGGAUGUUUUUUGAAAGGAGUAUCCUUGAGAAAGCUACUUGAGUGACUUCAAGGCUGGUUCCUAGGUCAGAUCCCAGCAGAUCAGUCCCUCCUCCUCUGGUGCCAGGGACUCUCUCGACUAUGGUCGUUAUUUUCACUGCAGCCAGUAUCUAUCUUUUUCUGCACCAUCUAGUGAAAAGCUGCAAGUCCUUCAAGGCCAAGACAAAGAUUGUGUUUUGUUUGUUUGGAAAACAAAAAAAUGAAUGCCGGAAAAAAACAGGUGCCUGAGAACUGCCUCUGGCAUCUCCCAUCUGUGCAUGAAGACAACUCCUCCACAGCAGCAGCAGCCUCUCCUUCCACUUGGCAGGUGUUGUUGGACCAGAGCCAUGGGUACAGGAUCUAUUUUCUGUUGAGCUUGCAAAGGAGACGUGGUUGCCUGGCACAGCCUUGUAUUUCAACAGCUGAUCUGAUAACACAGAGGUGCUGGCCUCUGUUCUCUGCGAUCAUUCCCUGAAGAAGCAGGGUGAUUACUUUUUCUUUCCAUGAGGAAGCUGUUGGAUAUAACCUGGCACCUCGAAGGGUUUUUUUUUUUCCCUGUGCAAUUAGCAAUUUGGGGUUUUUUUACAUUCUGAAAGGUGGCAUUUUGCCCCUCUUGGGAGGCCUGUCCCUCAUCAUGCAGCUCUCUGUGUGCCAUUAAUGCAGCCACAUGUGGGUGUGCCAGAGCCUCCCCAGUGCUUUGACCUGGUUACCCCACCCUGAACAACCUUGGCGACAGCACCCACAUUUCCAAAGGACAUGCACCAAUGGCUGGGAAUCUGGGAGAAGUCAAAGUGAGCCCUAAUAAGGCAAGGCAGCUAGUUAUUACUAAGCUGCUAUUUCUACUGCAAGAAGCCCUGGAGCAGCAAAGCUGCUCACUUAAUGUAUGUUCAUUAGCAGCAUGGAUAAGAGCAGCACUGAUUGCAGGCUAUAAUUAGAUCUCUGGGACCUUUUUGGACCGGCUUUCUCUGGCAUUGUGCUACUUUGAAAGGACUUCCAGUUUCUUUUCUGAAUGGUUGGGAUGGCAUUUCCCUAUUCAGCAGAUUUGGGACUGUUUCUGUUUUCUCCAUUGUGGCUCACAGAGCGCUCCCAACUUGGUGCCACAAGCCCCACGCCACAGAAUUAGCAAAAGCUCCAUUGUUUGACCACUCCUGGUCCCUUGAGUUGUAGAGUUGGCCAGACUGCAGCUCUCUUCUUGGAACUGCAUGGCCAACCUGCCAGGCAGCCCUCCCUGAUUCACUUAGCUUGCCAAGAUGUAGUUUUGUGAGUACCUUCCUCUGGUGAUGACUCUGAUUCUCCUGGAAUCCCUUUCUUAGCGUGCUCUGUGCAGCCAGCCUAGAGCAUUCCCACAAGGGACAGAUGCCCCAAGCCAGCACUGAGCACGUACUCAGGGAAUGGUGGCCUACAUGGAAAUUCUUACUCCUCUCUUGGAAUGCUGGAAAACAGCCUCAGCAUCCACUCUGUGAAAAGCAGGGGAGGAAGAGCCAAGGGAAAGAUGCAUAGCAUGAAGGGCUGGAGUUGAGGUAUCAACAGCUCACGUGGCAAACGGGACCCAAGGGUGUCUCUGCCGGUGGUUUCCCCUCCCAGCGCUGGUGUGCUGGAGACAACCAUUAAGCACAGCCCUGUGGUGGGCAUCUUUCCUUGCCAUGUUCCCAGAUCCUUCCUGUAUCUUCUCGUGCACUGCCCACUCACCAGCUGGCAGGCAGGGGCAGAGGUGCUGGGAGCCCAUCUGGGAUUAGGAAUCCAGAGGCAAAGGUGCACAUGCCAGAACUUGGCUGACCUGUGGGCUGAGGGAGGCUAUCUGAGGAAGGAAGUUUUUGUGUCUUGUUUUGAACCCAAUGCAUCUGGUCCUGGUAGCUCAAACUGCAGACUGAGAUGCAAAUUGAGCUCUGGGUGGGGGCCCAGGGAGACAAGAGGCCGAGAACUGCCAACCUUUGGGAUAACAAAAGGCACAAAGGCAGGUGGUGCCAGCCAGGUGAAUGGACACUUGAGAGACACAUGGGAGCUGAGAAUUGCUGACCUUUUUGAUAACAAAGGAGAUGAGGAGGGGUGAUGCCAGCAGAGAGGGGGCUAGGAGCCAGGAGGAAGAGUGACACUUGCAUGAGGGUAGAUGUUGAGGGUAUAAAAAGCCCAGGGGUUCCAUUGUUGGGGUCCUCCUCGAAGGCACCAGUUCCAGGUGUUUCUGUGUUACUGUGCCACGAAUAAAUGGCUUUAUGGAAUGAGA